AAGUAGUUCAGCGGUAGAAUACAACCUUGCCAAGGUUGGGGUCGCGGGUUCGAAUCCCGUCUU
rnacentral:tRNA from 2 species